rnacentral:rRNA from 1 species
UACGUAGGGGGCAAGCGUUGUCCGGAUUUAUUGGGCGUAAAGAGCGUGUAGGCGGCUUUACAGGUCCGCCGUGAAAACUCGAGGCUCAACCUCGAGACGCCGGUGGAAACCGUAAAGCUAGAGUCCGGAAGAGGAGAGUGGAAUUCCUGGUGUAGCGGUGAAAUGCGUAGAGAUCGGAAAGAACACCAACGGCGAAAGCACUCUGCUGGGCCGACACUGACACUGAGAGACGAAAGCUAGGGGAGCGAAUGGG